rnacentral:rRNA from 1 species
AGAGUUAAAUAGUACGUGAAAUUGUUAAAAGGGAAACACUUGAAACCAGUCUUGAGGUUGGAAUCCCAACUGGCCUAACGGUCAGCAUAUGUUUUCAACUUCAGGUCAACAUCAGUUUCGGCUGAAGGAAAAAGCUUGAGGAAGGUAGCCCCUCGGGGUGUUAUAGCCUCAAGUAAUACUUUGGCCGGGACUGAGGAACGCAGUGCAGUCUUGGGUACCUCUUCGCUAGUUGAAUAACUCUGCAGACAGCAUGCUGAUUGUAGUGGGGCUAAGACUAAUCGGAGGGCUUGCCACACCUGUGCUUAGGAUGUUGACAUAAUGGUUUUAAAUGACC